UACAGAGGAUGCAAGCGUUAUCCGGAAUGAUUGGGCGUAAAGCGCGUGUAGGCGGCUUAGCAAGUCGGGCGUGAAAGCCCUCGGCUCAACCGAGGAAGUGCACCCGAAACUGCUGAGCUUGAGUGCCGGAGAGGAUGGCGGAAUUCCCCAAGUAGAGGUGAAAUUCGUAGAUAUGGGGAGGAACACCGGUGGCGAAGGCGGCCAUCUGGACGGUAACUGACGCUGAGACGCGAAAGCGUGGGGAGCAAACAGG
rnacentral:rRNA from 1 species